rnacentral:SRP_RNA from 1 species
GCUGGGCUUGGUAGCGUGAGCCUAUAACCUGAGUGGGAGCAUUAAGAUGGUGGAACAAUUGGGCAUGCCCUGAAGGUUGGGCUCGAGGUGCUAUCUUCUGGCUUGCCCGUUCCAAGUGGUGAGUUGUGCCGUGGAUUCUCUACGAAGGUAGAGGCUUCUCGGUCCUUAGAUUGGAGGGCACCGCGUGAGGCUGGCUUCACAGAGCAGCGAUAACCUCUUUCUCUCCGCAGUGGAAGGAUAACAUGCUGGUGCAUUCUCGGUCCAUUAGCGCCUGAUGGGCUGCCCAAAUUGAACCACCAUCUUU